GGGGGGGGGGGGCGGGGGGCGGGGCGCGUGCAGGGCGGACGGGGAGGCCCUGCUUUGGUGGGGUGCUCGAGUGGCGAACGGGUGAGUAACACGUGAGUAACCUGCCCUUGACUUUGGGAUAACUUCAGGAAACUGGGGCUAAUACCGGAUAGGAGCUCCUGCUGCAUGGUGGGGGUUGGAAAGUUUCGGCGGUUGGGGAUGGACUCGCGGCUUAUCAGCUUGUUGGUGGGGUAGUGGCUUACCAAGGCUUUGACGGGUAGCCGGCCUGAGAGGGUGACCGGCCACAUUGGGACUGAGAUACGGCCCAGACUCCUACGGGAGGCAGCAGUGGGGAAUAUUGCACAAUGGGCGGAAGCCUGAUGCAGCAACGCCGCGUGCGGGAUGACGGCCUUCGGGUUGUAAACCGCUUUCGCCUGUGACGAAGCGUGAGUGACGGUAAUGGGUAAAGAAGCACCGGCUAACUACGUG
rnacentral:rRNA from 1 species